AGUGAACGCUGGCGGUAAGCCUAACACAUGCAAGUCGAACGGCAGCACAGUAAGAGCUUGCUCUUACGGGUGGCGAGUGGCGGACGGGUGAGGAAUACAUCGGAAUCUACUUUUUCGUGGGGGAUAACGUAGGGAAACUUACGCUAAUACCGCAUACGACCUACGGGUGAAAGCAGGGGAUCUUCGGACCUUGCGCGAUUGAAUGAGCCGAUGUCGGAUUAGCUAGUUGGCGGGGUAAAGGCCCACCAAGGCGACGAUCCGUAGCUGGUCUGAGAGGAUGAUCAGCCACACUGGAACUGAGACACGGUCCAGACUCCUACGGGAGGUAGCAGUGGGGAAUAUUGGACAAUGGGCGCAAGCCUGAUCCAGCCAUACCGCGUGGGUGAAGAAGGCCUUCGGGUUGUAAAGCCCUUUUGUUGGGAAAGAAAAGCAGCAGGUUAAUACCCCGCUGUUCUGACGGUACCCAAAGAAUAAGCACCGGCUAACUUCGUG
rnacentral:rRNA from 1 species